rnacentral:rRNA from 1 species
CCUACGGGUGGCUGCAGUGGGGAAUAUUGGGCAAUGGAGGCAACUCUGACCCAGCAACGCCGCGUGAAUGAUGAAGGUCUUCGGAGGGGAAAGUUCUGUGAUGGGGGAGGAAAACAAUGACGGUACCCCAAUAGCAAGCCACGGCUAACUACGUGCCAGCAGCCGCGGUAAUACGUAGGUGGCAAGCGUUAGCCGGAAGGACUGGGCGUAAAGGGUGCGUAGGUGGUUUAGUAAGUUGGCGGUGUAAUUCCGGGGCUCAACCUCGGCGCUACCGCCCAAACUAUUAGACUAGAGUGCAGUAGGGGUAAGUGGAAUUCCUUGUGUAGCGGUGUCAUGCGUAGAUAUUAGGAGGCACAUCAGUGGCGAAGGCGACUAUCUGGACAGCAACUGACACUGAGGCACGAAAGCGUGGGGAGCAAACAGGAUUAGAUACCCGUGUCGUC